rnacentral:lncRNA from 1 species
UAGAGACGCACAACAGUUUUCCCUAUGAAUCCCAUACUUUUUCUCUUUUUAUCUCUGCUUAUUUCUGCAGGGACUACCAAAAAGCUAAUUUCAUCUUCUAAAGACUACCAUAACUUACCUGUCAAUGACUUGGAGGAGGAGGAGGAGGAGGAGGAAGAUGAUAAUGAUGGUAAUAACUAUGUUGUACAAAGUCCUGAGGACCAUGAGAUCUUUUUAGAAACAGACAUUUCUACAAAUCCGCCUGUGUCCAAAGAUGUGUUAAUGCUGAAGAACAGUAUGCAGAAUUUACGGGAGUACUUGAAAUUGCUCUCCAUCAAAAAGGCUGAAGAGGAACAACUAGAGAGUUCUGAAGCAGAGCCUUCUGAAGAAUCCAAAUUUGGACCUCAUUAUCUCAACAUUAUCACUCAAGGCCCAGUCGAGGAAUCACUUAGUGGAGAUCUAAGAGCAAAACCUGUGAACAUUUACAAGG